AUACUUUUUAGCUUUAUUAUGUUAAAUCAACAAUGUAGAUAUGAUUUAGAAUCAUAUGUGUUUUUGCAUCUGUGUACCUCAGUUGUGCUGCUAUCCUUCUCUCUUCAGUCCGUGUCUUGCUUGUCUACCUUUCUGCAUAAAAGGUAUAAAAUGGUGCCAAUGCUUUAUCGUUAACUACGACAGUGAGGAAAACUUGCACCC